rnacentral:rRNA from 1 species
CGUACUAUACAUGCAAGUCGAGCGGUAAGGCCCUUCGGGGUACACGAGCGGCGGACGGCUGAGUAACACGUAGGAACGUACCCCAAACUGAGGGAUAAGCACCAGAAAUGGUGUCUAAUACCGCAUGUGAUCUUCGGAUUAAAGCUUCGGCGGUUUGGGAACGGCCUGCGCAUGAUUAGCUUGUUGGUGGGGUAACGGCCUACCAAGGCGACGAUGCGUAGCUGGUCUGAGAGGACGAUCAGCCACACUGGGACUGAGACACGGCCCAGACUCCUACGGGAGGCAGCAGUAGGGAAUCUUGCGCAAUGGGCGAAAGCCUGACGCAGCAACGCCGCGUGAGGGAAGAAGGCUUUCGGGUUGUAAACCUCUUUCAGGUGGGACGAAGCUUCCAGGGUUAAUAGCCCAUGGGGUGACGGUACCUCCAGAAGAAGCCCCGGCUAACUACGUGCCAGCAGCCGCGGUAAUACGUAGGGGGCAAGCGUUGUCCGGAACCAUUGGGCGUAAAGCGCGUGUAGGCGGCUUGAUAAGUCCGGUGUGAAACCUUGGGGCUCAACCCCAAGCCUGCACCGGAUACUGUCUCGCUUGAGUUCGGGAGGGGAGAGCGGAAUUCCUAGCUGUAGCGGUGAAAUGCGCAGAUAUUAGGAAGAACAUCAAUGGUGAAGGCAGCUCUCUGGAACGAUACUGACGCUGAGACGCGAAAGCGUGGGGAGCGAACAGGAUUAGAUACCCUGGUAGUCCACGCAGUACACGAUGGGCACUAGAUGUGGGCGGUGUCGAUCUCCGGUCCGUGUCGCAGCUGACGCACUAAGUGCCCCCGCCUUGUGGAGUACGGCCGUGAGGCUAACAACUCAAAAGGAAUUGAACGGUGCGCCCGCAUCAACGCAGCGGCC